rnacentral:rRNA from 1 species
GACGAAGGGGGCUAGCGUUGUUCGGAAUUACUGGGCGUAAAGCGCGUGUAGGCGGUUGUCCAAGGUGGAUGUGAAAGCCUUGAGCUUAACUCAAGAAAUGCAUUCAGGACUGGAUGACUAGAGGGCCGGAGAGGAUAGUGGAAUUCCCAGUGUAGUGGUGAAAUACGUAGAGAUUGGGAAGAACACCAGUGGCGAAGGCGGCUCACUGGUCCGAUACUGACGCUGAGGUGCGAAAGCGUGGGGAGCAAACAGG